UACGAAGGGGGCUAGCGUUGCUCGGAAUCACUGGGCGUAAAGGGUGCGUAGGCGGGUCUUUAAGUCAGGGGUGAAGUCCUGGAGCUCAACUCCAGAACUGCCUUUGAUACUGGGAAGCUUGAGUCCGGGAGAGGUGAGUGGAACUGCGAGUGUAGAGGUGAAAUUCGUAGAUAUUCGCAAGAACACCAGUGGCGAAGGCGGCUCACUGGCCCGGUACUGACGCUGAGGUGCGAAAGCGUGGGGAGCAAACAGG
rnacentral:rRNA from 1 species